UGAGUAACCUGCCCUUAACUCUGGGAUAAGCCUGGGAAACUGGGUCUAAUACCGGAUAUGACUCCUCAUCGCAUGGUGGGGGGUGGAAAGCUUUUUGUGGUUUUGGAUGGACUCGCGGCCUAUCAGCUUGUUGGUGAGGUAAUGGCACACCAAGGCGACGACGGGUAGCCGGCCUGAGAGGGUGACCGGCCACACUGGGACUGAGACACGGCCCAGACUCCUACGGGAGGCAG
rnacentral:rRNA from 1 species